CACCGCACUCCAGCUUCGGGGACAGAGUGAAAGUCCAUCUCAAAAAAAAAAAAAAAAAAAAAAAAACACAGCCACAGGAGGCCACGCCCAGAGAUAUCUGGAGGCCUCCGGAGCCUGGCUACUGCGUAGGCAGGGCAGCAAGUGCCAACCUGACAGCUGAGGGCAGCCCAGCCGCGCCCUGCCGCCUCGCUGCCUGCACAUCAAAGUGACAGCGUUCCUGGUGCAUCCGCUUCCUCUGGCUCUGAACCCCGGGAGCUGGUGCCUUGUCCCCCAGUGCAGAGACUCUGCCAUCCACCUCCCA
rnacentral:lncRNA from 1 species